rnacentral:rRNA from 1 species
CCUACGGGAGGCAGCAGUGGGGAAUUUUGGACAAUGGGCGCAAGCCUGAUCCAGCAAUGCCGCGUGCAGGAUGAAGGCCUUCGGGUUGUAAACUGCUUUUGUACGGAACGAAACGGUGAGCUCUAAUACAGUUUGCUAAUGACGGUACCGUAAGAAUAAGCACCGGCUAACUACGUGCCAGCAGCCGCGGUAAUACGUAGGGUGCGAGCGUUAAUCGGAAUUACUGGGCGUAAAGCGUGCGCAGGCGGUGAUGUAAGACAGAUGUGAAAUGCCCGGGCUCAACCUGGGACCUGCAUUUGUGACUGCAUCGCUAGAGUACGGUAGAGGGGGAUGGAAUUCCGCGUGUAGCAGUGAAAUGCGUAGAUAUGCGGAGGAACACCGAUGGCGAAGGCAAUCCCCUGGACCUGUACUGACGCUCAUGCACGAAAGCGUGGGGAGCAAACAGGAUUAGAUACCCUGGUAGUCCACGCCCUAAACCGAUGUCAACUGGUUGUUGGGUCUUCACUGACUCAGUAACGAAGCUAACGCGUGAAGUUGACCGCCUGGGGAGUACGGCCGCGAGGUUGAAACGUCAAAGGAUUGACGG